CUACGGGACGCUGCAGUGGGGAAUAUUGCACAAUGGAGGAAACUCUGAUGCAGCAACGCCGCGUGGAGGAUGACACUUUUCGGAGCGUAAACUCCUUUUAUAUAGGAAGAAGAUGACGGUACUAUAUGAAUAAGCGCCGGCUAACUCCGUGCCAGCAGCCGCGGUAAUACGGAGGGCGCAAGCGUUACUCGGAAUCACUGGGCGUAAAGAGCGUGUAAGCGGAUUAAAAAGUCAGAAGUGAAAUCCUAUAGCUUAACUAUAGAACUGCUUCUGAAACUCUUAAUCUAGAAUAUGGGAGAGGUAGAUGGAAUUUCUGGUGUAGGGGUAAAAUCCGUAGAGAUCAGAAGGAAUACCGAUUGCGAAGGCGAUCUACUAGAACAUUAUUGACGCUGAGACGCGAAAGCGUGGGGAGCAAACAGGAUUAGAUACCCGCGUAGUC
rnacentral:rRNA from 1 species